rnacentral:misc_RNA from 1 species
GGCAACGGAUGGUUCGUUGCC